ACCGGCCGUUCGUCGGCCGACAAUCUGCAGGCCGUCUGAGCCAUUUGCUCCGAACCGCUGACCACGGAUGUACUGGCAGCGCGGAUGAGCAGAAGAGGAAGGUCGGGUUCGCCCGGCCUUUUUUGUU
rnacentral:sRNA from 1 species